ensembl:snRNA U6 U6 spliceosomal RNA
GUGCUUGCUUAGGCAGCACAUAUACGAAAAUUAAAACAAUACAGAGAAGAUUAGCAUGGCCCCUGCACAAGGAUGACACGCAAAUUCGUGAAGUGUUCCAUAUUAAA